rnacentral:rRNA from 1 species
AUUGAACGCUGGCGGCAGGCCUAACACAUGCAAGUCGAACGGCAGCGGGGGGUAGCUUGCUACCCCGCCGGCGAGUGGCGGACGGGUGAGUAAUGCCUGGGGAGCUGCCCAGUCGAGGGGGAUACCAGUUGGAAACGACUGCUAAUACCGCAUACGCCCUGAGGGGGAAAGGUGGGGCUCUUCGGACCUACCGCGAUUGGAUGCACCCAGGUGGGAUUAGCUAGUUGGUGAGGUAACGGCUCACCAAGGCGACGAUCUCUAGCUGGUCUGAGAGGAUGACCAGCCACACUGGAACUGAGACACGGUCCAGACUCCUACGGGAGGCAGCAGUGGGGAAUAUUGCACAAUGGGGGAAACCCUGAUGCAGCCAUGCCGCGUGUGUGAAGAAGGCCUUAGGGUUGUAAAGCACUUUCAGUGGGGAGGAAAGGGUGGAAGCUAAUACCUUUCAUCUGUGACGUUACCCACAGAAGAAGCACCGGCUAACUCCGUGCCAGCAGCCGCGGUAA